AGUGAACGCUGGCGGCGUGCUUAACACAUGCAAGUCGAACGAGAACGGGUUAUAGCUUGCUAUAAUUGUCAGCUAAGUGGCGCACGGGUGAGUAAUGUAUAGGUAAUAUGCCUCUUACUAAGGGAUAGCAAAUGGAAACGUUUGCUAAUACCUUAUACUCCUUAUUAACAUAAGUUAAUAAGGGAAAGAUUUAUUGGAAAGAGAUUAGCCUGUAUUGUAUCAGUUAGUUGGUGGGGUAAUGGCUUACCAAGACUAUGACACAUAACUGGUUUGAGAGGAUGAUCAGUCACACUGGAACUGAGACACGGUCCAGACUCCUACGGGAGGCAGCAGUGGGGAAUAUUGCACAAUGGACGAAAGUCUGAUGCAGCAACGCCGCGUGGAGGAUGACACAUUUCGGUGCGUAAACUCCUUUUAUAUGAGAAGAUAAUGACGGUAUUAUAUGAAUAAGCACCGGCUAACUCCGUGCCAGCCGCCGCCGUAAAAC
rnacentral:rRNA from 1 species